GAUGAACGCUGGCGGCGUGCCUAAUACAUGCAAGUAGAACGCUGAAGGAGGAGCUUGCUUCUCUGGAUGAGUUGCGAACGGGUGAGUAACGCGUAGGUAACCUGCCUGGUAGCGGGGGAUAACUAUUGGAAACGAUAGCUAAUACCGCAUAAGAGCAGUUGUUGCAUGACAGCUGUUUAAAAGGUGCAAUUGCACCACUACCAGAUGGACCUGCGUUGUAUUAGCUAGUUGGUGAGGUAACGGCUCACCAAGGCGACGAUACAUAGCCGACCUGAGAGGGUGAUCGGCCACACUGGGACUGAGACACGGCCCAGACUCCUACGGGAGGCAGCAGUAGGGAAUCUUCGGCAAUGGGGGCAACCCUGACCGAGCAACGCCGCGUGAGUGAAGAAGGUUUUCGGAUCGUAAAGCUCUGUCGUAAGAGAAGAACGAGUGUGAGAGUGGAAAGUUCACACUGUGACGGUAUCUUACCAGAAAGGGACG
rnacentral:rRNA from 1 species